AGCGGCGAACGGCGUAGUAAGGGUAGGAACGUGCCCUCUGGACGGGGAUAGCUACGGGAAACUGUAGGUAAUACCCGAUGAUCUCUGCGGAGCAAAGGUGUGAUUCCGCCGGAGGAGCGGCUUACAUGAUAUUAGCUAGUUGGUGGGGUAAUGGCCCACCAAGGCGAUGAUGUCUAGGGGGUGUGAGAGCAUGGCCCCCACACCGGAACUGAGAUACUGUCCGGACACCUACGGGUGGCUGCAGUCGAGAAUCUUCCGCAAUGGACGAAAGUCUGACGGAGCGAUGCCGCGUGCGGGAUGAAGGCCCUUGGGUUGUAAACCGCUGUCAGAGGGGAUGAAAUCUCCGGAGGUUCUCCUCCGGAGUUGACAGAGCCUCAGAGGAAGCACGGGCUAAGUAUGUGCCAGCAGCCGCGGUAAUACAUACUGUGCGAACGUUAUUCGGAAUCACUGGGCUUAAAGGGUGCGUAGGCGGCGAUUCAAGUCAGAUGUGAAAUGCCUGAGCUCAACUGAGGCAUUGCGUUUGAAACUGGAUUGCUGGAGUGUCCCAGGGGUGUGCGGAACUGCCAGUGGAGCGGUGAAAUGUGUUGAUAUUGGCAGGAACACCGGAGGCGAAAGCGGCACGCUGGGGGAUAACUGACGCUGAGGCACGAAAGCCAGGGGAGCGAACGGGAUUAGAUACCCCGGUAGUCCUGGCUGUAAACGAUGAGCACUGGGCGGG
rnacentral:rRNA from 1 species